CCAAUGAGUUGUGGGUAAUGCCACCCCUGGGCUGGUGGACUUGGAAGCUAUAAGAAGGGAGCAAGGCUAUGUGGAGCGAGCCAGUAAGCAGCAGUCCUCCAUAGACCCUGCAUCAGAGUUCUUCCAGAUGCCAGCCCUGCUUUAGUCCUGCCCACACUGCUUUUGAUGAUGGUCUGUGAUGGGAAGUAUAAGCUGGAUAUAUAUACACAAAACUAUGCACUGGCAUAUGUACGAAGAGAUCUGAGGUGCAAGACCAAAGCCAUCUUUGAAGACGAAAUCUCUAAAUGGAGAAAGAAAAAUAUAACCUUGUAGCCUGUGACUGUUGUAUGUACGUCGUGAACCCUAGCUCUCAUACAUGCUAGGGCAGCCAUUGCACACUGGAUGCGUCCUUGGGUGUCUAUUUCAGGCCUCUGUUGGAAAUGAGCAGGCUGUCAACUUACUACAUCAGGACACUUUGGGCAUAGAACCAGCUCGUUAAAGACUUGUCCUGAACGUAUGCUCCGAACCCAGUUGCUGUGCUGUCAUCGCUAUACAAUCAACAUUCUGCUAACAGUCAAACCCGGAAGUGGCACAACACAGAUUCUUCCACAUCUUGCUGGAACCAAUAUCUGGUUAAAAGCUUCAAAAGAGGGUAAAAUUAACAGUGCCAGAGACGAAGCCUUCUGCCCCCUUUGGAACCUAGAGUCCUGUUGUUAAAGGGGGAAGAAGCAUCGGACUGUAGGGAUGAAACUGCCUCUACCACAAGUCAGACUGAAUAUUUGCAUGUUCUAAUGUAAAUUUUCUAUGUGCCAAUUGUUCAUAGCUAUUAAGCUAGAAGUGUAAACUAUCUCUAUAAUUCCAGUUAAUGAAGUGGUAGGGUUCUUAUAGAGGAGUUACUGAUUCCCCUGGGAACCCUGUUUUCUUUGUUUUGUAUUGGAACAGGAUUCGGGGCUUUGUCUUCUAAUUUUCUCAAUGGUCAGUCCUUCUGAAGGGUGAGAGGCCUUUGUGAUAGUCAUUUGAGGAAUUGUGAAUCUAGAUAGCUGAAAGUUCUCUGCCAGCUGUCAUGGUGUUGCUGGUUUUCUUGUGCACAAAUUGUAGUUUGUUAUCCUGCUUUUACUUAAAUGUCACCUGUUCCUCCAAGAACAAUGUUCAAAGGUCACAUCAUUACUUCAUUAUACUUACUAUCUGCAGUACAAUGAACUUAUUGUGAAAGAUACAAACUUUGUUAGCUCUUCAGUCCAUGGGUCACUAGGGAAUAACAGUGUGGGCAAUGUCCACCGAUUGAUCGUGUCACUUGUAAAGUAAGCUUCCAGUGUGUGUCUACUGUUAGUGUCUGCUCAGUUCAUGCUCAGUGCAUAAACGCACGUAGGUGUAUUAUUUCUUUGUCUCCCAGUGGUAGACUAAUGUGCCAUUUUAUAAAAAGAAUGAUAGGAAGAAGGAAAGAGCAUGUAUGCGAGUGAAGGAAGGAAAUGGAAAAUGAUAACACUGAGGGGUGAAAUGCUAGUCAAACUUAAAAGGAGCUAUAGAAGAGAUAGAGUAAAUGCAUCUCUUUAUCUCUUCAUCUAUCUAUUUGUCUGUCUAUCUAUCUAUCUAUCUAUCUAUCUAUCUAUCUAUCUAUCUAUCUAGUCGGGGAAGCAGAACCAGGAGUGAUCUUGGGUAUGCAUGUAUAUUUUACCUUUAAAAUUAUAUAGAACAAACACAUACAGAUAAAUUAUUAUGUAGAGAGACAAAGUGAGACACAGAAAGGGAGACUCAGACAAGGAAGAGGGGAGAAGGGAUUUUUAUUUUAGGGACUUUGGGGUCUGGCAAGUCCACUGUGUCUAGGGAUGGGGGAGGGGCCAGCAGGCUGGAGAGCCAGGGAGGGCAUGCUCUGGUUCAAUUGUUUUUCCAAAGAGAAUUUGCAGUAUCCCUUUUUGCUCAGGAAACAAUCUUCAGGUGAUAAACAGAGGCUCAUCAUCCACAUUAUAAAUCUUAAUUUCACCUAAAAUAAAAUUUAACAAGAACAUGCAAGGAUAAGUUUUGGUUAAAUAUCUUAGAAAUGUGACCCAACAUAGAUUCACCAAAUUAAUGAUCACAAGCUCUUACCAAAGGGUGAUUCUUGGGAAACUGUUUGUGUUACAUGAAGACGGGGCAGUCAAAGUAACACAGGAUUGAAAACAAACAGAAAAGAAAAAAAUCCAAAGACCACAUCAAAAGACCUCUUAGAAUAUGUUUCAGAGAGUCAAAGCCCAAGGAAUCUAAUCUUACAAAUUGAUCCACUUGUAGAAAUGAGUGUGACAACUCAGGAAGCCCAGGAAAGAUUCCUGCUCCAUCCAUGGCAUACAAAGUGUCUUAGUCAGGGUUUGUAUUCCUGAGCAAAUCAUUAUGAUCAAGAAGCAGGUUGGGGAGGA
rnacentral:sRNA from 1 species